CUUUUUAGGAUUUUGCGUCAACAUUUUUUACAUGUCUUUUGUUUUAGAGACUAAUGUCAUGUUUUGACAUGCCUUUUGUUUUAGGGACU
rfam:Populus trichocarpa scaffold_16_contig_103, whole genome shotgun sequence.